AACGGCGUUGAGUUCGUUAGAUCAACUCCAACGCCUAUAUAUUUAGAGAGAUAAAAAAUAAUAUGGUAAUAGUACUUAGUAUAUAUCCAUAUUUCCAUGGCAUGACAGCUUCUGUAUUCAGAUUAAGCAGAAAAGAAGUACUCCUACUAUGAAGACGGCUCUUUUGCUUGCUCCUCCUCCUCCUACUUUUUCGUUUUCAACCUAACCCUGGUAGUAAUUGUAGUUGUACAAAAGAAAAAAGUGAAUUAAUUAACAGCUUUCUUACAGUCAAUUCAAUCCCUAGAUCUCUAGGGUUCGAUAAUCGGUGACCUUUUUUAGAUGGAGCCGCGUGUCGGAAAUAAGUAUCGCCUUGGUCGGAAAAUUGGCAGCGGAUCGUUCGGCGAGAUCUAUCUAGGGACUAAUAUACAGACCAAUGAAGAAGUUGCAAUUAAGCUUGAAAAUGUGAAGACAAAGCAUCCUCAGUUACUUUAUGAGUCAAAGUUGUACAGAAUUCUGCAGGGAGGAACUGGAAUUCCAAAUGUGAGAUGGUUUGGAGUUGAGGGUGACUACAAUGUUCUCGUCAUGGAUUUGCUUGGCCCAAGCCUUGAGGACUUAUUCAAUUUUUGCAGUCGGAAACUUUCUCUAAAGACUGUCCUUAUGCUGGCAGACCAAAUGAUCAAUCGUGUUGAAUUUGUUCAUUCAAAGUCAUUUUUACACCGAGAUAUCAAGCCAGACAAUUUUCUUAUGGGCUUAGGACGCCGUGCUAACCAGGUUUACGUCAUAGAUUUUGGUCUGGCUAAGAAAUAUAGAGACACUUCAACCCACCAGCACAUACCGUACAGAGAGAACAAGAAUUUGACCGGAACUGCUAGGUACGCUAGCAUGAAUACUCACCUUGGAAUUGAACAAAGCAGGAGGGAUGAUUUGGAAUCUCUUGGAUAUGUUCUUAUGUAUUUCCUCAGAGGAAGUCUUCCAUGGCAGGGACUGAAAGCAGGUACCAAGAAACAGAAGUACGAGAAAAUCAGUGAAAGAAAGGUUUCUACAUCAUUGAGUGGUUAUGUGCUAUUCUUUCAGGCCUUAUGCAGGGGUUACCCAACUGAGUUUGCUUCCUAUUUCCAUUAUUGUCGGUCACUUCGUUUUGAGGAUAAACCUGAUUAUGCUUAUCUGAAGCGAAUAUUCCGUGAUCUUUUCAUUCGUGAAGGCUUCCAGUUCGAUUAUGUUUUUGAUUGGACAAUUUUUAAAAUAUCAACAGUCUCAGAUUGCUGCACCACCUUCUCGGGCAGUUGGUCCUAGUGCGGGAACAAGCUCAGGAAUGCCACCUGCUAUACCCAACAUUGAAAGGCAACAAGGUGAAGAAGAUGGAAGACAAGCUGGAUUUUCUUCAGCAGAUCCUUCACGACGAAGAAGUUCUGGUCCACUCUUAAAUGUCGGGAGUUUAUCUAAGCAGAAGAGCCCAAUUGCAAAUGAUUCAACAAGCAAAGAAGUCGGGUUAUCAAGCUCUGCCUAUUUGGGAAGAUCAAGUGGAUCAUUGAGAAGAGGUGCUAUAGCCGGUAGCCGUGAAACAUUCACUGCAGGAAAUGAUUCUGAUCCUACUCGAUCUCGUACACCUGAGGCUAGUCCAGGGACGGCACAGAAAAUCUCUAGCGGACAAAGGACCUUGCCCCUUGGUGGAUCCUCAGACCCCAGGCACACUUCAUCUGGCAAAAACAAUUCUGGUGUAAAAAACUUUGAGUCCACUCUCAAGGGCAUUGAGAGCCUGCGCUUUGAUGAUUAAUAGAUGGUUCAUUGCUGGAUGCUUCAGUUUUUACAUUUUGUACAUCGUCAACAUCAUCCACUGGACAUCCCAUUAAAUUCAUUAAAGCUCUUGGAGUUGCAUUUCUGGGAAGUUGUGAUAUGGAGAGUAAAUAGGCUCGGUAUGGAUGCUCCCAAAGACCUUAGCGAUAAAGAGGACCAGAUUGUGCAACAAAAUUCAGACAGGUGAAGCUCUGCCCACUUGCGUGGAUAUACUAUUGGAUCUCAACCACUGCUCUUUUUUCUUUUUUCCUGAGUGCUGAGAGUUACUGGUUUAAAUCAUCAGGGAACUGUAAAUUUGCAACUUAAUUGUGUCUGCCGGACCUGCUCUUAUUUUUGUUCGUUUCACAGUUCCUGGUCAUGCAUAAACCAGUGCACAUUUAUGUAAUGUUUCCCUAUUUUUGUAAUGGCUUGUUGACUGAA